ensembl:lncRNA
GGGAAAGUUCAUGUUGGUCUCAGGAAGAGUUUAGAGGCUGUAUCUUGGCCUACUGGGAACUUGUCGAUCUCAGGGGAUGCUUUUGUCUAGAUAGAGGAAAAAUUCCUCCCCACUUUCAAUAGGGGUGACCCCAAAGGGAAGGCUUCCUCAUCUCUUAGGGGACAGUUUAGGCUAAAGAAUAUGGCACACUGUAGGCCCUUACCAUGGCAGGAAUAAGGGACAGUUUGACCUCCACAUUCACUGAGGGGACUUUAAUUUCUCUCAUCAUCAUCCCUGCCAUUUCUAAAAGUCACCCAUUCACUCAUCCCCCACUUCCCUUUUGUACACCGGAAGUUCCUGCUCCUGGACCGAAUGGGCUUUGGCUGCACUACGCAGAAGGAGCACGUUUACUGGCCUCCGGGAUUACCUCAAGGAGACAACACCCAAAUGCCACCCGUCCCAAGAGUCUCUUCUCCAUACCAACGGACCCCAGAGGCACAAGGAGGCAGACGGUAGUGAGUUCUCUGGCACGACGGGCAGGCUGGCUGGCCCACGCUGGGGCAGGCCAUCUGGAAGCCUGCCAAGGCCCCUGCACAGGAUGAAGGGCUUCUACUGGACCUCUCCAGCCUACACGUGUGAACCUGGGCAGGUCACCCUUCCUGAGAGGUAGAUCUGAGGACGACCUAGAGGACAGCGAUGCGCAAAUCUGUCAUCCUGGUGAAUGUGCCCAUCUUCGAAUGAAGGACCUGGAGGGGUGGGAUUGGUGCAGAAGGAUCGGGUGCAAUCCAUCUUGCAGAUACUGGUGUGAACAACCUUCUGGGGCACAGGCCUGGAAUCUGCCUCUAGUGUCUGCCCAGUUUUGUAUGAAAUGAAGUGUGAGACAAGCAGGUCAGUGGGAAUCUGGGUGAGGCUGGCCUUCUGGUCAGCCGCCUCCCUUGACAUGGGGACAGUUAUUGCAGGGUAAAGGCCUGCUUGGGGGGACAAAGGAGGGGAAAUUGGGGCCAGAGGACAAGAAGAAGUGUUCAAGGGGCAAGGAAUCUUAUUUGGGAAGUUUGUAGUCUUUAUAGCUUCCUGUUUACUUUUGGGGUCCUCACUCUGGUCUCUGGAGAUUCUAGCUGGGUUGCUUGGAGACCUCGAUUGUCCAGAGAGUGCGGUUGAUUUUAAGGAGGUCUUGUACACUUCAGCCAUAAGCCUUGGCCUCUGAAAGCAGAAGCUGUCUGGCAGUGGGUGGUGGGAACACUGAGCAUCUGCCCUGGCUUUCCUUCCUUCUUCAUAUGUAACUGGGUCAUAUGACCAUGGCAAGUCACUUCUUGCCCUCUUCUACAAAAGAUGGUAUGGCCAGGUGAGAAGCAGAUGUUUCCCAGACAGGCAUUGGUAGAUGAAUGAAAUCAGUGUCAGUGUACAGGCGAGUCUUGGUUGGCAUUUUGGUGGGAAGGGCCAGAGGGGUGACAAGGCUGAGUCCCCCCAGCAUGGGCUGGGCUCCUAAGGUGGGGCUAACUUGUCUCCCCUAAGGAGCUCCCAUUUUCCAGAUGGAUUUAUCCUACACACUUCUCUCACUGAGGAAUCAUAUCUCUGCCCUGCCCCUUGAUCUCUUCUUUUGAUGGGUCCUCCCAUCAACUGGGCUCCAGUAAUCAGUGUUAACCAGAUACUUGGACAGUGGGGUGGGCGUGAACAGGGUUGGAGGUAUUUGCCAGUGACCCAAAGCCCACCUUACCCUGAGGUAAAUCCUUACCUUCCUUCACCUAAGAGGAUGAUGCAGCUACUGCAUGUGAGCUGUAGCGGUGGGGCCUGGAGGCUCCACAGGGCCCCUUUCUUUGUGCAGCAGUGGCUGGUGCACGCAGUGGUCCCACACUUCCUUACAGCACAGGUGGUGCACGUGUGGGUCAGCUAGAGCGAGGCCACUGUGGGGCUAGAUGGUCAUUAGAUCAUGUGCGUCUGGGGUCUUACCCCAGGAGCAGGUGAGCAGAACAUAUGUGGAAGCAGAACAUGUCUCAAUAAUUGUUUCAUUUUCUUGAGCUGAAUCUUAGAAGUUGGGUAGAGAAACAAAAAUCUAAUGAAAAUAAAAAUGUGAUUAGUGGGAACCCAAUGAAGCAGAACCCACAAUUAGCAAGAUUUCUCUAUAAUUUGAUGGCUCCUUAGAGAAGCACAUACUCCUGAAAAGGGCUAAUUAUAUAUUUGCUUAUUCAGUCCACAAAUAGCAUUGUGACAGCUGGCUUUGGGAUGGGAAGGCCCUUACAAGGUCAUCUCAGCCCACUCCUGCUUUAUCAGAAAUUUCCACCAAAGAGACUCUGCAGUGAGCUAGGUGACGUGAGGGACAUCACUAGCAAGAUUUAAGUAGGGAAACAGAUUAAGCCCAGCUGGGAGAUGUGAAGACAUCGUUAUGUCCAAAACAUUGACAAGAAGGUUUGUAAUUAAAAACACAUAGGAGAAAAGGGACAAAGACAUCAAAGAUGAUAAGCAGAAUUUAAACCACCAAGUUGAUUAACUAGGAGAAAGAAUUUCUAGUCUAUUCCCACAGGCCAACAAAUUGCUGAUAAUCCCUCUUAGACAUGCAAUUUUAACUUCAGCUAAAUGUGCAUCCUGCACUUCAGGAUAUCAAAAAGAAAGAAAGAAAAUCGUUUGUGACCCCAGGCAUAGAAAUUAAGCUUGAAUUAGUCAAACUUAUAUCCACCAAAAUGAUUGGAAUACACUCACAAGGGGGUCAUCCUAGUGGGUUGGGUGCAUGGAAAUGUGAACCUUCAUGUAAUCAUUUGGGGUGUGUGUGUGUCUGUGUGUGUGUGUGUGUGCGCGCACAUUCUUUGGAUAUCUCUGAGUCUCUGGAUUAUGUGUUGUUUUUGUCGUUGUUUUUUAAUUGCUGGACAUCAGUGUGCAGUGCGGUGAAAGGACUGAGAUUUGGUUUGGAUGGUGAAGCUGCUAGAGGCCUGCCCAAACACAUCUUCGGGGUGGUAGUGGUAGGGCAUGGGUGGAGUCCAGGACUGUUCUGCAAGAAAUGGGAUCCAGUUACCCUAGGGACCUGUGUGACCACCCUUCAGGAGGGUGGCAUGGUUUGUCCCAAGCUCCUUUCAAGGUCUUGACUUCCCACUAUGGUGGGAAAGUGGAUAUAGAUGUCCAGGGCAACUGAAGUGGAAGCCUCUGGCCUUGGUGGGGCUCUGCACCAGACUUGAUAACAACAGCCAUUCCAAUGCGACUGCAGAGAAGCAGACUCAAAGAAGCCUUUGCUGCCAUGUAUGUUCCCAUGUUUGUCUUCUCUGCUUUGGUCUGUGCAGAGAAGGCGUCUUCACAAAUGGCCUUAGAAUGCCAUUCUGAAGCUUAACGAAUGCGACCACCAUCAAGUGAAUAUCAGGUGUAUUUAUUAUUGUAGCUUUCCUGAACAAUGAGAAAACAAAAUCUUGUGUUACCAAUGUUUACAUAUCUUCAUAGACAUUCAGCUUAUGUAAAAUACAUACCUUAUGCAAGGGAUUGCACUUUCCUUUUGUAAUGAAUGCUUUAAGCAACUCCAAAUAUAUUUUAUGGUGUCUUUACAGGAGGAAUUACUUACUGCCAUGUUGUAAAAUGUACUUUUACAAUUUUCUCUUUUUCCAUUAAAACCUCUGUGGCACAUCUACAA